rnacentral:snRNA from 1 species
GUGCUCACUUCAGCAGCACAUAUACUAAAAUUAGAACGAUACAGAGAAGAUUAACAUGGCCCCGGAGCAAAGCAUAACACGCAAAUUUGUGAAGCGUUAAAAUAAACG